rnacentral:rRNA from 1 species
AGAGUUUGAUCAUGGCUCAGAAUGAACGUUGGCGGCGUGGAUUAGGCAUGCAAGUCGAACGUUAGUAGUAGCAAUACUACAAAAGUGGCGAAAGGGAGAGUAAUACGUAGGUACCUGCCCUCGGGUCUGGGAUAGCUGCGGGAAACUGCAAUUAAUACCGGAUGACGUCUCUGGACCAAAGGUGUGAUUCCGCCAGAGGAUGGGCCUGCGUCCUAUCAGCUAGUUGGUGUGGUAAUGGCGCACCAAGGCUAAGACGGGUACGGGGUGUGAGAGCAUGCCCCCGCUCACUGGGACUGAGAUACUGCCCAGACACCUACGGGUGGCUGCAGUCGAGAAUCUUCCGCAAUGGGCGAAAGCCUGACGGAGCGACGCCGCGUGUGGGAUGAAGGCCUUCGGGUUGUAAACCACUGUCAGUGGGGAGCAAAUGCAUCAGGGUUCUCCCUGGUGUUUGAGCGAUCCGCAGAGGAAGCACAGGCUAAUUCCGUGCCAGCAGCCGCGGUAAUACGGAAUGUGCAAACGUUAUUCGGAAUCACUGGGCUUAAAGAGUCCGUAGGCGGCUUGUUAGGUGAGGUGUGAAAUCCCUCGGCCCAACCGAGGAAUUGCGCUUCAAACCGGCAAGCUUGAGGAGGAUAGAGGUGGGCGGAACUGAUGGUGGAGCGGUGAAAUGCGUUGAUAUCAUCAGGAACACCGGAGGCGAAGG